rnacentral:rRNA from 1 species
GUGAGGAAUAUUGGUCAAUGGACGGGAGUCUGAACCAGCCAAGUAGCGUGAAGGAUGACUGCCCUAUGGGUUGUAAACUUCUUUUAUAUGGGAAUAAAGUGCAGUAUGUAUACUGUUUUGUAUGUACCAUAUGAAUAAGGAUCGGCUAACUCCGUGCCAGCAGCCGCGGUAAUACGGAGGAUCCGAGCGUUAUCCGGAUUUAUUGGGUUUAAAGGGAGCGUAGGCGGAAGCUUAAGUCAGUUGUGAAAGUUUGCGGCUCAACCGUAAAAUUGCAGUUGAUACUGGGUUUCUUGAGUGCAGUAGAGGUAGGCGGAAUUCGUGGUGUAGCGGUGAAAUGCUUAGAUAUCACGAAGAACUCCGAUUGCGAAGGCAGCUUACUGGACUGUAACUGACGCUGAUGCUCGAAAGUGUGGGUAUCAAACAGGAUUAGAAACCCCUGUAGUCC